rnacentral:lncRNA from 1 species
AGAAAGGGGUGGAGGAGCUCCAAGUUCACUAUAUAUUUGUGAAAAUGUCUUUAUGAAGCCCAGUAUUUCCGUAUGUAAUGAAUAUACACAGAUAAGAGAGCCUCAAUUUUAGGACUCUUCAGAACCUGUGUCACAGAAAUUACCUGUCCUGAAACCAAAAGGACACCGGUGUGGAGAAUCACAGGGCUGAGUCACUGAGGGGCACUUCCCAAAUGCAAGCAUCUGGUAGACGGCUGGAUACCUGAGAGCCUUCUACAUACUCAGGAGAGACAAGCCACUCUCUAAUGACCUGCCAACUCUCGAAUAGUCCUCAUCAGCCAGACUUAAAGGCUGUGAUUUUGACACCCCCCCCCCACAGUAAAAAUCUGAACAAUCAA